GGUCACUUUAAACCAAAAAAUAGGACAAAAAUGAAGUGGUAUGCAAUUACUGCAAACGCGUAGGUGGCCUAACACCAGCUCGGAAUAGACAACAUUCACACGCAAGCUGAAUGAGCUCUGUGGCGUACGUAAGGGGGGUGGUUCACGAUUGCUCGAUGGAAUGGGCAACAAAACAACUGUCAGUCACCUGUUCCAAUACUCACAUGAAAAACAGGGCAACUUUGGGUGAACAUCUGUAAAGCAUCGUAUUGGCCCCACUCACCGGACUUUCUGAGAGUUGACUCAUCCGGCGGCCACUGCUGGUCCUCUAAUGUGGUCAGCUUCAGGUGGCCCAGCUGUGCU